rnacentral:rRNA from 1 species
CCCUACGGGGGGCAGCAGUGGGGAAUAUUGCACAAUGGGGGAAACCCUGAUGCAGCGACGCCGCGUGAGUGAAGAAGUAUUUCGGUACGUAAAGCUCUAUCAGCAGGGAAGAAAAAAAGUCCUUUGGACUUUGGACGGUACCUGACCAAGAAGCCCCGGCUAACUACGUGCCAGCAGCCGCGGUAAUACGGAGGAUGCGAGCGUUAUCCGGAUUUAUUGGGUUUAAAGGGUGCGUAGGCGGAUUUUUAAGUCAGCGGUAAAAUGUCCGGGCUCAACCCGGGCCGGCCGUUGAAACUGGGGAUCUU